rnacentral:rRNA from 1 species
AGAGUUUGAUCCUGGCUCAGAAUGAACGUUGGCGGCGUGGAUUAGGCAUGCAAGUCGAAUGCGAAAGGGGCAACCCCGGUAGCAUGGCGAAAGGGGUAGUAAUACUUAGGUAACCUACCUCCAGCUCUGGGAUAAAGGCUAAUCACCGGGUAAUACUGGACAUCUUUGCGGGGAGGCAUCUCUCUGUAAAGAAAGCUACGGCGGCUGGAGAGGGGCUUAAGCUCCAUCAGGUAGUUGGCGAGGUAACGGCUCACCAAGCCUUUGACGGAUAGGGGGUGUGAGAGCACGAUCCCCACCACUGGCACUGAGACACUGGCCAGACACCUACGGGUGGCUGCAGUCGAGAAUCUUCGGCAAUGGGCGAAAGCCUGACCGAGCGACGCCGCGUGGAGGAAGAAGGCCUUCGGGUUGUAAACUUCAAUCCCUGGGGAACAAAUCAAUGAGCGUACCCAGAGGAAGCACGGGCUAAGUUCGUGCCAGCAGCCGCGGUAAGACGAACCGUGCGAACGUUAUUCGGAAUCAUUGGGCUUAAAGGGCGCGUAGGCGGCAGCAUAAGUCGGAAGUGAAAUCCCAUCGGCUCAACCGUGGAAUCGCUCCCGAUACUGUGUUGCUUGAGGGAAAUAGGGGUCCGCGGAACUACCGGUGGAGCGGUGAAAUGUGUUGAUAUCGGUGGGAACGCCAGUGCCGAAAGGGGCGGACUGGACUUUUUCUGACGCUGAGGCGCGAAAGCUAGGGGAGCAAACGGGAUUAGAUACCCCGGUAGCCCUAGCCUUAAACGUUGGGUACUGGGUAGAAAGGGU